UUUUGGGGUAGCGUUAGGGGGCCAUUUCCAACGCCAAAAUGAAAAUUAGCGCAGCGUUGGAGAUGGCCUAACAUCAUCACUCUUGGCACCAAUUUUUCCUCUAGGUAUGCUCUCAAUUGCACUUCAAUAUUGUAUACAGAUGAGGUUGAAUCACAGCUCAUUCCCUUCUAAGAGUGGACAAAUUCCUUUCUUGUGUAGUAACCAAACAGACGGCAUUGUCUAUAUGGUCUGAGUUUUCCCCCCUUUAUAAUUGGUUUUAGGCCUUUGAUCUUCCUGCCCAGUAUUUUUGGCUCUGUUUAGAUUGAUGAGUCCCACAUAGAAUUCUGGUUUAUGAUAAUCAGAACGUAUAUUCGAUUAUGCUGUUCUCAGUAUUGAGAGGUUAGUCGGUAAUUCUAUAUAAAUCUACUUCUGGGUUCCAACUCACUUUCCUUUUGGAAGAUUCUAAAAAUUUAUUUGUCUCAUGAGUCAUGACACAGCUAGUCAUGUUUACUGAGCCACCCAGUGGUCAGGCUGGCCAUCUUGCAGCCGAAUGUCGGAGAAGCCAGCAGAUAUGCUCUAAGGUGCUAUGUGGCAAAUGAUACUCCAAUUCACAAUAACGAAUAUCAGUUGGCAAAGACUUUCUUCCAUUGGAAAUUAUGGAGGUAUGUUAAGCAGCCAUGAAUUGUUACAACUCUAACGAGUCUUGCUUCUAAGCCACUCGCUGAAUCACGUUUCAUUGCUUGCUUCUUGUUCUUUCUUUUUCCAUUUGAUUUCUGUAAUCUUUCCUAUCAAGAAAGCUAGCUUAACAGAGGAAUGUUCUUUUUUAUAAGAGACGAAUUACUGAA